rnacentral:rRNA from 1 species
CCUCCUUCUGGAUUCCCGUUCCUGCUAUUGAGUUAGUGGGGACGUCACAGGGGGCUCAUCGUCGUCGUGCAAACGGCGGCGGUGGGUCCCUGGGGGCCCAGAUCGUUUACCGUGAAAAAAUUAGAGUGUUCAAAGCAGGCAGAUCCAAUUUUCUGCCACCGAAUACAUUAGCAUGGGAUAAUGGAAUAGGACCCUGUCCUCCUAUUUUCAGUUGGUUUUGGCAGCGCGAGGACUAGGGUAAUGAUUAAUAGGGAUAGUUGGGGGCAUUAAUAUUUAAUUGUCAGAGGUGAAAUUCUUGGAUUUAUGAAAGAUUAACUUCUGCGAAAGCAUCUGCCAAGGAUGUUUUCAUUAAUCAAGAACGAAAGUUAGGGGAUCGAAGACGAUCAGAUACCGUCGUAGUCUUAACCAUAAACGAUGCCGACCAGCGAUUAGGAGACGUUGAAUACAAAACACCACCAUCGGUGCGGUCGUCCUUGGCGUCGGUCUUUCGGGGCCGGCGCGGGGACGGCUUAGCCCGGUGGCACCGGUGAAUGACUCCCCUAGCAGCUUGUGAGA